UACGUAGGGUGCAAGCGUUGUCCGGAAUUAUUGGGCGUAAAGAGCUCGUAGGCGGUUUGUUGCGUCGGCUGUGAAAUCCCGAGGCUCAACCUCGGGUCUGCAGUCGAUAAGAGCAAACUAGAGUGUUGCAGGGGAGACUGGAAUUCCUGGUGUAGCGGUGAAAUGCGCAGAUAUCAGGAGGAACACCGGUGGCGAAGGCGGGUCUCUGGGCCGUAACUGACGCUGAGGAGCGAAAGCGUGGGGAGCGAACAGG
rnacentral:rRNA from 1 species